GGCGGUCGGCGGAGACCUUCCCCCAUUGUCUGUCGCGGACCUGCCCCCGCCCCGCCCCUUUUGCCUUUAAUAGAGCAUCUGCUUUUAUAUGUUAAUAAUUAUCAACCUGGCAGCCCUGAGUCAGGAGCGGGGUCUUUGAUUCGAAGGAACUAAUUGCAACCUUUUGGGACUCCUACUCCAUGACUCAAAAUAGAAAAUGCCCAAAAGAACAAAGGAAAGUUUUUUUUUUUUUACGAAGACAAUGCAUUCCCAGCCCCAAUUUUAAAAAAAAGAAAAAAGGAACGGAGAAAGCUAUGUGUGUAGAAAUGUGUGUACACACUUGUGCGCAGGCACGUGUGCGCGAUCGGAUGUGAAUCCGUCUGCUGCAUGAAAGACACGUAUUCAAAGCCCAAGACAGCCGUAAAAAGGUCAACGUGCUUGCCUCUUUAUUCCCAACGCUAAAAAUAACUCCCCAGCCCGAAAGAGCUAUUCAAUUACGAAUACCGGGGGCAGUUGAGGCUGCGGCCCACACUAAGUCCCAGCGGGCAGUGUCACGCGAAACCGAAAAUCAGUUUCCUUUGCGGAGGGGUGGGGAAGCCACAACAAACAAAGACAUGCCGGCACGCCGUCGCCGAGCGCCCAGGAGCCCGCGGAGCCCACUGGGCACCGGCGGCGGGCAGGGAGGCGCUCUGUUUACACCCAGCGCACUCCCGAACGUGGGCCCGGGGUGCGUGCGCGCGUGCGCGCGCACACACACACACACACACACACACACACCCCGGCGUGUCUGUCUCGAAACACACACACACACACACACACACACACCCCGGCGUGUCUGUCUCGAAACCCCUCGCGCGACCCCGCACCCAGCUGGAAUUCGGCAAAAGCCGGAAACAGGGAGCUCUGGGAGCCGGCGUGGGAUCCCAGGGACACCCCCCUGCGCGCACACAUACACACAGCCCGCGGGAGGACAGGACCGCCGGGGACAGCUCGCGGCGCUGCCGGGGCGCACGAGCCGCAGCUACUCACUCGCGAGUCUGUCGCCCCUCGCCCGCCACCCAAGCUGCUUCUCUCCUAACGGACAGACGCGCCGGGAGAGGAGCGGCAGAGGGCGCAGGCGCGCGGCCCCAGCCCGGCCCAGCCCCAUCCACAGGCAGCUAGCCAUCCCGCUGCCCUUCACCUGA
rnacentral:lncRNA from 1 species